rnacentral:tRNA from 1 species
GCGCCUGUAGCUCAGCUGGAUAGAGUAGGUGGCUUCGAACCACUUGGUCGCCCGUUCGAAUCGGGCCAGGCGCG